rnacentral:rRNA from 1 species
AGGGUUCGAUUCUGGCUCAGGAUGAACGCUGGCGGCGUGCCUAACACAUGCAAGUCGAACGGAGUUACGAGAGCUUGCUUUGUAACUUAGUGGCGGACGGGUGAGUAAUGUAUGAGCAACCUGCCUUUCAGAGGGGGACAACAGUUGGAAACGACUGCUAAUACCGCAUAAUGUGCGAGGGGGGCAUCCCCCAUGCACCAAAGGAGCAAUCCGCUGAAAAGAUGGGCUCAUAUCUGAUUAGUUAGUUGGCAGGGUAACGGCCUACCCAAGACUGCGAUCAGUAGCCGGACUGAGAGGUUGAACGGCCACAUUGGGACUGAGAUACGGCCCAGACUCCUACGGGAGGCAGCAGUGGGGAAUAUUGGGCAAUGGGCGAAAAAGCCUGACCCAGCAACGCCGCGUGAAGGAAGAAGGUCUUCGGAUUGUAAACUUCUUUUAUGAGGGACGAAGGACGUGACGGUACCUCAUGAAUAAGCCACGGCUAACUACGUGCCAGCCGCGGC